rnacentral:rRNA from 1 species
GACGAACGCUGGCGGCGUGCCUAAUACAUGCAAGUUGAGCGCUGAAGGUUGGUACUUGUACCAACUGGAUGAGCAGCGAACGGGUGAGUAACGCGUGGGGAAUCUGCCUUUGAGCGGGGGACAACAUUUGGAAACGAAUGCUAAUACCGCAUAAAAACUUUAAACACAAGUUUUAAGUUUGAAAGAUGCAAUUGCAUCACUCAAAGAUGAUCCCGCGUUGUAUUAGCUAGUUGGUGAGGUAAAGGCUCACCAAGGCGAUGAUACAUAGCCGACCUGGGAGGGUGAUCGGCCACAUUGGGACUGAGACACGGCCCAAACGCCUACGGGAGGCAGCAGUAGGGAAUCUUAGGCAAUGGACGAAAGUCUGACCGAGCAACGCCGCGUGAGUGAAGAAGGUUUUCGGAUCGUAAAACUCUGUUGGUAGAGAAGAACGUUGGUGAGAGUGGAAAGCUCAUCAAGUGACGGUAACUACCCAGAAAGGGACGGCUAACUACGUG